rnacentral:lncRNA from 1 species
GGGGGUGUUGAUUGGGUAUUUUCUGCGUGUGGAACAUGAAUCACUGUCUCUAGGAAGGCAGGCUGUGGUAGACUGGAUUCCUGUUGGGAAAUAUUUGCUAUUUUCCGCUCACUUCCACAGGAGGACCCUUCCCCACUGCACAGGUGAUGGCUCUGGCCACGUGACUUGCUUUGGGGACCUACGGCCGCUGGCUUGCCCUCCUGUGCUUCUGUCAUUGCUAGUGUCUUGGUCCUGGGAGGAAGAUGCAAGUCACACUGGGCAAGGCCAAGCCACCUAGACUAGCUGACCCCAGCUGAGUCACAGAUGGAGACAGCCCAGCCAAGCCCGGCCCGGGGCAGCCAACCUUCAGACCUUUGGGUUCAUGAGCUAACUACAUGCUUAUUGUUAUACGGUGCUGAGGUUUCACGGAUGUUGUUACACAGCGCGACUGUGGACGUCGUUACCUGACCCAGAGGAGAUGGCUCGUCUGAAUGACCACAGUGGGCUGUUAAUACUAUGGCUCAUCCAACCUCAGGUGGCACUGAAUAACAUGAGGCCUCACCCUCGCCACAAAGUAGGGCAGAGCUGUUUCCAGAGGCUCAACAAGUGGUGAAGCAGAGAAAAGUGUGAGCCCUGAAAGUGGGCUUUGGAAAGAAGAGGAGGGAAGGGCAGAGCUGUGCACGCUCACUUCCUCCCCGGGAGCUCGCUGAGCGACACUGCUCCUUGGGGAGGAGCGGGGCCUUUCCUCUAGGAAAUGUUGGCCAGAGAAGUGGCGGCUCCCUGAUGCACAGUGGAGGCUGUGGGAUGCUUGUGGAAAGGAAACCUGCUCAAUUCUCUUCUCCUUGGGGGUUUCCUGCAAGUGUCUGACCACAAAACCCUUCCCCAGUCCAUGUGUCUCGUGCCUUCCAGGCAAAGAUGAUGUCCCAUGUGGCUUUGGUGUCCACACUGCCCAACGUGCGUGCUAAGCCUUCUCUCCUGGAGAGGAGAGGAUAAAGGGGUCUGGGCUGGGUGUUCAGAGGCCCGGCAUGCCUGGUCCUUAGAAGGUGCCCUCUUACCCCUCUAAUUCAGUCCUGGGGCUCUGCUCCCUGCUCCCUGUCUCUGGCCCUACCCCUAGAUGGGGCCUCAUGACUCAUUCAAGGGCUCCCUGAGGUUUACUGCAGGGGCCACCAGCUGACUAGCCUGCCCGCUGGACCCAGGCUCUCCCUGUCCACCUGCUGGGCAGUCCCCUAGAGCUCAGAGCCCCUGCUCAUGGUUGCUCCCCAUGGGCCCCUUUGCCAAGGCCAACUGAUGGGCAUCCUGGAGGUGCCACCUGCCUGCCCUGACUCAUUCUACCUGCACCAGAGCCUUGGGGGUUUGCCCAUCUCACCCCACCCCACCCUGAUGAAAUGUGCUCCAUCUGAGUGCCCACCAAAGGGAGGGGUCUGACCCCAGGAGUGUCUGGGUCUACACCCUGGUCUGCAAUGCAUAUAGAUGUUCAGAGCAGCUCACCAGGGCAGCAGUCAGAUAUUCACUGUGAAAUGUCAAACCCUGCCCAGCCCCAAGGAGACAACAAACAAACAGCCAGUAAAUGCCUCAGCAUUAAACAUUUCUUGGCAAAGGCGGGAUAGUCAAUUUUGACACUGUUAAGAAAAAAUACAGCCUAAUUUCUGCUCGAAUGCACCAAAUUUACUGCCUAGGUUCUCAUUAACUACUGUCAAGGGAAAAGCAGAUAGACAAGAUAGAUUAUGAAAAAAUUACUUUUUUAAUGUACAAAAAGACUUAUUUACAAGUUGAACAUGUCAUCUCAAUUCAUAGCAUGUAGAAAAAGCUAAAAAUGUUUUGGAGAUAUAAAUUUGGCUGGACGACUCACCUGCAGUA